CUGCUAACCUCAGGAUGUUUAUAACUACGGAGUUUAGUGGACACACCACGGCAGCAAGGUUAGACUGUUGAAGGCUACUGAAGACUACUAAAGCAGGCAACGCAGCGUAAGCAAAAAAAACAAAAACCACACACACACACCAAAAUACAAGUUAAGAUAAAAUAUGAAAACGAACAUAAUAAAGCAUAAAUAAUUAAAUUGAAUUGCGGGCCAGCCGUAUGUUUAUUUUGUUAACCCGUGAGGGGCCGUAUGAAACCGCGUGGGCCGGUACUUUGAGACCCCUGGUGUAAUGUAAAGGUGUAAUAGUGUUGAGGGAAGGUAUAAUAUUGUUAAGGGAAGGUGUAAUGUUAAAGGUGUAAUAGUUUUGAGGGAAGGUGUAAUAGUUUUGAGGGAAGGUGUAAUAGUGUUGAGGGAAGGUGUAAUGUUAAAGGUGUAAUAGUGUUAAGGGAAGGUAUAAUAUUGUUAAGGGAAGGUGUAAUGUUAAAGGUGUAAUAGUGUUAAGGGAAGGUAUAAUAUUGUUAAGGGAAGGUGUAAUGUAAAGGUGUAAUAGUGUUGAGGGAAGGUAUAAUAUUGUUAAGGGAAGGUGUAAUGUAAAGCUGUAAUAGUUUUAAGGGAAGGUAAAUGUUUAGUGAAAUUGUUAUGGUGUGAAUCUAAGGUGUAUGUUAUGUUGAUGUAAAAUAAAGGCAUUAACCCCAAA